ensembl:snoRNA SNORD116 Small nucleolar RNA SNORD116
UGAUUGACAAGGACUCCCACAUACGCAUUCCUUGGAAAUCGGAACAAAAUGAGCAAAAACAAAAAGAAUUACAAUGUCUUUUCUCCUUUACUUG